AAAACACAUAAUAUAAACAUGUGCGGUAUAGAAUGCAUAGUAAAUGGGUUUUAUUGCAGGUUUAUGUAACUAAGAGAAUUCAAUUUUUUUUUCUUAUUUAGAUAUUAUUUUAAAAUAUGAAACAACCAGUGCCAUUAUAUUUGACCUAGUAAGAAGCUACAUAUGUGAUAGUUCAAUUUUUUUUUCAUUUUCUUUAUCUUUUAGUGCUUGUAGCAAAUUUGCAAUAAAUGAGGAAUCAAACACCUGUGUGAAUGUGGCAUGCUCUGGAUCUGGAAAACCUGUGGAUGUCAUUACGACCUUUGAGUUACUGGUGGACCUUACUGAUCAUACAGGCACGCUGCAAUCCCGCAACCUGUCAGGGAAUGUAGCAGAGAAAACAUUGCACUGUUGAUGAUUUUAUCUGUCUAGCGGAGGGCCAUAAAACAUCCCUGAAAUGGAGAUUUCUUUUGGAAAGAUGGAAAAUUUAUCUGAAGAUACUUCCAUCACCAAAUGCAAGAACUGGUCUUAGAGUCAAAGUGCUAUCCUGUACACUGGCUGACCCUGAAGAAGUAAGCCAAUGCUUACCUGUCUUGGGAAUGUGGAG